GGAAGGAUCAUUAACGAAUAUAAUUCGAGGGGUUGUCGCUGGCCUCGCUCGCGCGAGGCAUGUGCACGCUUCUCGUUUUUCUCUCAACUCACCUGUGCACCUAAUGUAGGAUGCCUCUCCUCCGGGAGGGGGGACCUAUGUCUUCGUAACAUCUUCGUGUAGAAAGUCUUUGAAUGUUUACUAUCAUCGAGUCGCGACUUCUAGGAGACGCGAUUCUUUGAGAUAAAAGUUAUUACAACUUUCAGCAACGGAUCUCUUGGCUCUCGCAUCGAUGAAGAACGCAGCGAAAAGCGAUAUGUAAUGUGAAUUGCAGAUCUACAGUGAAUCAUCGAAUCUUUGAACGCACCUUGCGCUCCUCGGUGUUCCGAGGAGCAUGCCUGUUUGAGUGUCAGUAAAUUCUCAACCCCUCUCGAUUAGCUUYGAGAGGGWGCUUGGAUAGUGGAGGUUGCCGGAGACUUGGAUUCGUCCGAGACUCGGGCUCUUCUGAAAUGCAUCGGCUUGCGGUCGACUUUCGACUAUGYGCGACAAGGCUUUCGGCGUGAUAAUGAUCGCCGUUCGCUGAAGCGCAUGACUGAAYGUCCCGUGCCUCUAAUAYGUCGACCGCUUAUUAUCUCUCCGGAGAGAACAGGGUCUUCCUUAUUGACUUUUGACCUCAAAUCAGGUAGGACUACCCGCUGAACUUAAGCAUAUCAAUAAGCGGAGGAAAAGAAACUAACAAGGAUUCCCCUAGUAACUGCGAGUGAAGRGGGAAAAGCUCAAAUUUUGAAUCUGGCGGUCUUUAGGCC
rnacentral:rRNA from 1 species